rnacentral:rRNA from 1 species
UACGUAGGGUCCGAGCGUUGUCCGGAAUUACUGGGCGUAAAGCGCGCGCAGGCGGCCCGCGAGGUGUCACGUGAAAGCCCCGGGCUCAACCCGGGAGGGUCGUGGCAAACCGGCGGGCUUGAGGCCGGUAGAGGUGGGUGGAACUCCUGGUGGAGUGGUGAAAUGCGUAGAGAUCAGGAAGAACACCCGUGGCGAAGGCGGCCCACUGGGCCGGUACUGACGCUGAGGCGCGAAAGCGUGGGGAGCGAACAGG